AAUACGGUUUUUUUAAAAACCCCCAUCUUUCAUAAUUCAAAUUCA
rfam:Nomascus leucogenys chromosome 22a, whole genome shotgun sequence.